GUGCACCAGUCGCGAAUAGUCUACAAUGGACGAAAGUCUGAUAGUGCGACGCCGUGUGUGCGAUUAAUUCCUUCGGGAUGUAAAGCACUUUUCUAUGAGAUAAAAGCUCUUUAGGUUAAUAGCUUAUUGAGACGGAUAUUAUUAUAGGAAUAAGCUCCGGCUAACUCCGUGCCAGCAGCCGCGGUAAUACGGAAGGAGCGAGCGUUGUCCGGAUUUACUAGGCGUAAAGGGCUAGUAGGCGACUAAUUAAGUUAUAUGUUAAAUCCCACGGCUCAACUGUGGUCCUGCAUGUAAUACUGGUUAGAUAGAGUACUGUAGAGGAAGGCAGAAUUCCUGGAGUAGCGGUGGAAUGCGCAGAUAUCAGGAAGAAUACCAAAAGUGAAGGCAGCCUUCUGGGCAGUUACUGACGCUGAAUAGCGAAGGUGUGGGUAGCGAACAGGAUUAGAUACCCGUGUAGUU
rnacentral:rRNA from 1 species